rnacentral:lncRNA from 1 species
UCACUUGCAGGUGGGAUGUGGUGGCGGUUUGGGUGAGGAGGGAUGGGGGGGGAGAAAGAGGUGGGGGGUGAGGGGGGUUAGCGAGGGAGUGAUGGGUUUUGGGAGACGUGUCGCCUCCCGAGCUUAAACCGGGGGGAUAAGCCCUAACACGUUUCUUUUCCUCCAUUUGCUUAUGGCAUCGUCCCGCUCACCUCUCCCCCCCGUCCUGGCGACGCUGCAUCGGGGGAAUGUUGGGGUUUUGUUCCCUCUGCCGUACAUACACAACUACACGUUACAGGUCGUCUUCGCGACACGGCCCCUCAGUGGGACGCUCGCUCCUUGGCCAAGGUGCUGUGGGCCUUCGGUCGGUUCCACUUCGUGGGCCGCGAGCCGUCUGUGGGGGCAGAGGCGCUGGAGGCCAUGGUGGAGCGGCUGCAGGUGUGUGUGUCUGUGCAUCUGUGUGUAUGUGUGUGCGUGCCAUGUAUGUAUAUAUGUACGUAUGUGUGUUGUAGGGUGGAGGGAAGAAACGGGGAAAAAUCUCGUCCAGCUCUUAUCUGUACAAUAAAAAAGGAACAACAACUAUAUAAAAGAAGGGAAGAACCUUUUUUCUCCCAAUGAUAUGUGCAGAACAAACCCUGUUUUGGUGUUGUGGAUUCACACAGACAUGUAAGUAUGUAUGUACGUAUGUCUGCACCAGGAUGAUAUGGACGGUACCACAGCAGCCGAGGUGGUGUACGCGGCCGGACAGCUAUGUGGUUCCGGAGCUGGAGGCUGGCAGUUCACCCGACUUCAGGAA